AUUGAACGCUGGCGGAAUGCUUUACACAUGCAAGUCGAACGGCAGCACGGGGGCAACCCUGGUGGCGAGUGGCGAACGGGUGAGUAAUACAUCGGAACGUGCCCAGUCGUGGGGGAUAACGUAGCGAAAGCUACGCUAAUACCGCAUACGAACUGAGGUAGAAAGCGGGGGAUCGCAAGACCUCGCGCGAUUGGAGCGGCCGAUGGCAGAUUAGGUAGUUGGUGGGGUAAAGGCUCACCAAGCCGACGAUCUGUAGCUGGUCUGAGAGGACGACCAGCCACACUGGGACUGAGACACGGCCCAGACUCCUACGGGAGGCAGCAGUGGGGAAUUUUGGACAAUGGGCGCAAGCCUGAUCCAGCCAUUCCGCGUGCAGGAUGAAGGCCCUCGGGUUGUAAACUGCUUUUGUACGGAACGAAACGGCCUGGGUUACUACCUCGGGCUAAUGACGGUACCGUAAGAAUAAGCACCGGCUAACUACGUGCCAGCCGCCGCGGUAAAAC
rnacentral:rRNA from 1 species